GACGAACGCUGGCGGCGUGCUUAACACAUGCAAGUCGAACGGAAAGGCCCUGCUUUUGUGGGGUGCUCGAGUGGCGAACGGGUGAGUAACACGUGAGUAACCUGCCCUUGACUUUAGGAUAACUUCAGGAAACUGGGGCUAAUACCGGAUAGGAGCUCCUGCUGCAUGGUGGGGGUUGGAAAGUUUCGGCGGUUGGGGAUGGACUCGCGGCUUAUCAGCUUGUUGGUGGAGUAGUGGCUUACCAAGGCUUUGACGGGUAGCCGGCCUGAGAGGGUGACCGGCCACAUUGGGACUGAGAUACGGCCCAGACGGCUACGGGAGGCAGCAGGGGGGAAUAUUGCACAAUGGGCGGAAGCCUGAUGCAGCAACGCCGCGUGCGGGAUGACGGCCUUCAGGUUGUAAACCGCUUUCGCCUGUGACGAAGCGUGAGUGACGGUAAUGGGUAAAGAAGCACCGGCUAACUACGUG
rnacentral:rRNA from 1 species